AUAGGGGAGCCGGAGGGAAACCGAGUCUUAAUUGGGCGUUAAGUUGCAGGGUAUAGACCCGAAACCCGGUGAUCUAGCCAUGGGCAGGUUGAAGGUUGGGUAACACUAACUGGAGGACCGAACCGACUAAUGUUGAAAAAUUAGCGGAUGACCUGUGGCUGGGGGUGAAAGGCCAAUCAAACCGGGAGAUAGCUGGUUCUCCCCGAAAGCUAUUUAGGUAGCGCCUCGUGAAUUCAUCUCCGGGGGUAGAGCACUGUUUCGGCUAGGGGGCCAUCCCGGCUUACCAACCCGAUGCAAACUGCGAAUGCCGGAGAAUGUUAUCACGGGAGACACACGGCGGGUGCUAACGUCCGUCGUGAAGAGGGAAACAACCCAGACCGCCAGCUAAGGUCCCAAAGUCAUGGUUAAGUGGGAAACGAUGUGGGAAGGCCCAGACAGCCAGGAUGUUGGCUUAGAAGCAGCCAUCAUUUAAAGAAAGCGUAAUAGCUCACUGGUCGAGUCGGCCUGCGCGGAAGAUGUAACGGGGCUAAACCAUGCACCGAAGCUGCGGCAGCGACGCUGAUGCGUUGUUGGGUAGGGGAGCGUUCUGUAAGCCUGUGAAGGUGUGCUGUGAGGCAUGCUGGAGGUAUCAGAAGUGCGAAUGCUGACAUAAGUAACGAUAAAGCGGGUGAAAAGCCCGCUCGCCGGAAGACCAAGGGUUCCUGUCCAACGUUAAUCGGGGCAGGGUGAGUCGACCCCUAAGGCGAGGCCGAAAGGCGUAGUCGAUGGGAAACAGGUUAAUAUUCCUGUACUUGGUGUUACUGCGAAGGGGGGACGGAGAAGGCUAUGUUGGCCGGGCGACGGUUGUCCCGGUUUAAGCGUGUAGGCUGGUUUUCCAGGCAAAUCCGGAAAAUCAAG
rnacentral:rRNA from 1 species